GUUGCCCCCCAAGCGGUCAGGCAGCAAAAAAGUGUGUAUACGGCAACGUAUCGGGGGUUCGAAUCCCCCCCUCACCGCCA
rnacentral:tRNA from 1 species